rnacentral:rRNA from 1 species
AUGGAUGUCAAGUCGGCAUUCCUCAACGGCGACUUGAAGGAGGAAGUCUACGUGCAUCAGCCACAGGGAUUUGCGAUUCCUGGCCAGGAGGGCAAGGUACUCCGACUGCGCAAGGCACCUAGGGCGUGGAACGCCAAGCUGGACUCCACGCUAAAGAAGAUGGGCUUCGAGCAAAGCCCGCAUGAGGCUGCCGUCUACCGAUGGGGCAGUGGAGGAAAUGCCCUGCUGGUGGGCGUCUAUGUUGACGACUUGGUGAUCACCGGCACCAAAGAUGCAGAGGUGGCGGCGUUCAAGGAAAUCAUGAAGGCCACCUUCCAGAUGAGUGAUCUGGGCUCCUCUCCUUCUAUCUAG